UUGCACUAGAGGAUUUCAGAAUAAUCAGGCUCAGAGGCAUAACGAGGUUGAGAGCUCUCCACUUGUUCAGUUUGUGGACUGGCAUCCAGAUCAGCUAAAGGAUGGCAUUUUUGGAGUGUUACAUCUGCAGAUCACAUCCAACAUAUGUAAUGCCAUAUGGUCACCAAGUGGUUGUGGACUUUUUAUUUAUUAGGUGUGCAAUGGCAAUAAUGAAUCCCGUGGAGACAGACAGAUCAGACUUCAUCCUGAAGGAAUCAUGUGCCCAGGCAUGUUUGGUUAGCCCUCAAAUUUGCAGGCAUGCCUUUUACCAGCA